UCAACCCUUUUAACGCUGUCGUAGCUCAGUCGAUUAAGGCAGUGUCUGGGAUGCUCCCGGACGCAGGUUCGAAUCCUCAUCACGGCCCUUGUGGAUUUGUUUACUAUGUGUGGACGUGCGGAUGCCAGUGCGAAGAUGACGAAGCCGGUGGUGUCGCGGCAACUGUCAGGCGGGAUGUGGAGGUACCGUAAGCUGCGUGCCGUCAGCCUGCUUGUCCUUACCUGCAGUCUUAUUAUAGUUGUUGAUUACGUGUUGUUGCCCUCAAAGUCCUCCGCCAGGCCGACCGCGACGUCAACACCUUCGAGUUUCCUUUCAAGAGAGAAUAGAGGAGAACAGAGCUUGGAGUGGCAGAUGAGUCGGGUGCUCUGCUGGAUUCCCACCAGCCAUGGAAACCACUACACAAGAGCACGUCAUUUGAAGAAUACUUGGGUCCAGCACUGUCAUCACCACGUAUUCUUCAGCACACGUCAAGACGAGGCCCUGGGCUCCGUGAAGCUGGAGGUGCCGGAUGGGUACAAGAACCUGUGGGGGAAGACCAAGGCCGCCCUCGUCCACCUCUACCACCACCACCUCCACCACGCCGACUGGUUCCUCAAGGUUGAUGACGACACGUUUGUGAUCGUGGAGAACCUGCAGCACAUGCUCCAGCUCUACGACCCCGACUUUCCUAUAUACUUUGGCAUCAAACUGAAGGAGCCGGUUACGUCUCAGGUCUUCAUGAGCGGAGGGGCGGGGUACGUGUUGAGCCGGGCUGCCUUACAGAGGGUGGUGGAGAAGGGGCUGACCAACUCGGCCGUGUGUACCACUGGAGACAGAGGCAAGGAGGACGUGGAGCUGGGCAGGUGUCUGGAGGCCGUCGGGGUGCUGGCCGGAGACUCACGCGACCAUCUUGGAGGAAACAGGUUCUUCCCCUUCACGCCUGGGACGCUGCUCAUGCCUGACGGAGUGGCUGUACUCGGACACACAUGGUUCUGGACCCACGUCUACUACACCACAGUACAGGGCCCCCUGUGCUGCUCCAGCACUGCCGUCACCUUCCACUACGUGAAGCCUGAGAUGAUGUACACUCUGUACUACCUGGUGUACACACUGCGUCUGGCCCGACCCCAAGACCUGCCACCCCGUCUUCCGCCAGACAUUAACAGCGUUCCCACACAGGUCUUGGAGAAGUACACGCCCGACUGACACCACUGGAGGAGACGAGUUUCCGGCCCUGUGCCACCCUCCUCCUCCUCACAAGAUUCAGGUGGAGGAGAAGGAAGAGCAAGAGGACGAUAUAGACAGAUGAGAAAGAGGAACGUAAAGAAAGGAAAGCAAAAUAUAGAAAUGUGUGUGGAGAAUAUACCACGGAAAUUUGGCCUUGAUGCAGAAAUUUUCAUCAGAAUGUUUCAGUCAAGGAAAAUUACGAUAUUGCAUUUGGGGAUUAAAAGGCGACCCAGCUGACGUGUCCACUUUCCGGAAGGUGUAGUAGGCGACGCGGCCACUGGCCUGAAGGUGACGACGAUGAUGCGAGGGGUUGCCCUUCAGGAGAGAAGAGGGCAGAGCGGAGCUCGGCGUGGCAGAAGA
rnacentral:misc_RNA from 1 species